CAGUGGUACAACCAUGCUCUGGCGAUGGCACCACUGCGCGACGGUAGUUUGCCUCGGCCUGGCCAUUGUUGGCUAGUUUUGGCCGGUUUCUUCCAAUUUUAUACCUAUCCCUGCGAGAAAACACGUUAGGGGGUGUCAGCUGGCCGAAAAAAAAUUGAAAAACAAAAACUUACGAGAGGAGGAAUUUUUCGGUGCGGCGACUCUGUCAGCUCACCUUCGCGCUAAGUGUUUUUCUUCGAUCAACCUGUAGAAAAUAGAACGGUGAACACAAUGGUGGAAAAAUUUCACGAAAUGGACAACGGAAAGGGGCUCAUCAGAGGCAAUUUUUUGUUUUUCUC
rnacentral:lncRNA from 1 species